rnacentral:rRNA from 1 species
AUUGAACGCUGGCGGCAUGCCUUACACAUGCAAGUCGAACGGCAGCACGGGAGCAAUCCUGGUGGCGAGUGGCGAACGGGUGAGUAAUAUAUCGGAACGUGCCCAGUCGUGGGGAUAACGUAGCGAAAGCUACGCUAAUACCGCAUACGAUCUAUGGAUGAAAGCGGGGGAUCGCAAGACCUCGCGCGAUUGGAGCGGCCGAUAUCAGAUUAGGUAGUUGGUGAGGUAAAGGCUCACCAAAGCCGACGAUCUGUAGCUGGUCUGAGAGGACGACCAGCCACACUGGGACUGAGACAGGCCCAGACUCCUACGGGAGGCAGCAGUU